rnacentral:rRNA from 1 species
AAACUUGCUUCUCUAGAGAGCGGCGGACGGGUGAAUAAUGCCUAUGAAUCUGCCUGGUAUUGGGGGAUAACGUUCGGAAACGGACGCUGAUACCGCAGACGUCCUACUGGAGAAAGCAGGGGACCUUCGGGCCUUGCGCUUUCAUAUGAGCCUAGGUGGGAUUAACUGGUUGGAGAGGUAAUGGCUCACCAAGGCGACUAUCCCUAACUGGUCUGAAAAGAUGAUCAGUCACCCUGGAACUGAGACACGGGCCAAACUCCUACGGGAGGCAGCAGUGGGGAAUAUUGCACGAUGGGCGAAAGCCUGAUCCAGCCAUGCCGCGUGUGUGAAGAAGGUCUUCGGAUUGUGAAGCACUUUAAAUUGGAAGGAAGGGCAAUUACCUAGUACGUGAUUGUUUUGAC